GUGGGCCCUCGAAAUCCUGUGGUGGGAACAUUCAGUCUGGGUGUUGCGUCGCAGGCUGGGCAUGCUUUAUGGUUCCCGUGACGGGGCCGGCUCGGCUAGCGUUGCGCGGCAAACUGACGCAUUUGUUUCCCAUCCGAAGGACGCCGCAACCGGUUGGUGGACGGUCUUAAGAGCGAGAGUUGGAAGGUGGCCGGCGGCGCGCCUCGUGUGUGUCGCCGGUUGUUAGCCAUCUCGCAGGACGGCUCGUUCGCCGACCGUGGCAAUAAAGAGGCCCGAGUUGGGCUUCGUCGUCUCCUCCUUGAGUGGCGAGUAAAGAAGCGUCGCAGGAGUUCGGAGCAGUGUAGUCACACGAAGUGAGUUCGUGGCCACACGCUGCCUCGUCUCUGUUGGCUUGAUGCAAGACUCGCGGGAGUGAUUGACGGUUUGCGGCGAGUAGAUCGGUCACCCACCUGACCCGUCUUGAAACACGGACCAAGGAGUAGAACAUGUGCGCGAGUCAAUGGGUCUUGAAUAAGCCC
rnacentral:rRNA from 1 species